rnacentral:rRNA from 1 species
UACGUAGGGUGCAAGCGUUGUCCGGAAUUAUUGGGCGUAAAGAGCUUGUAGGCGGUUUGUCGCGUCUGCUGUGAAAACUCGGGGCUUAACCCCGAGCCUGCAGUGGAUACGGGCAGACUAGAGGUAGGUAGGGGAGAAUGGAAUUCCCGGUGUAGCGGUGAAAUGCGCAGAUAUCGGGAGGAACACCGGUGGCGAAGGCGGUUCUCUGGGCCUUACCUGACGCUGAGGAGCGAAAGCGUGGGGAGCGAACAGG